rnacentral:rRNA from 1 species
CCUACGGGAGGCAGCAGUGGGGAAUAUUGCGCAAUGGGCGAAAGCCUGACGCAGCGACGCCGCGUGAGGGAUGAAGGUCUUCGGAUCGUAAACCUCUGUCAGCAGGGAAGAACGGUCACUGUGCUAAUCAGCAGUGAAUUGACGGUACCUGCAAAGGAAGCACCGGCUAACUCCGUGCCAGCAGCCGCGGUAAUACGGAGGGUGCGAGCGUUAAUCGGAAUUACUGGGCGUAAGGCGCGCGUAGGCGGUAUGUCAAGUCAAGGGUGAAAUCCCCGCGCUCAACGUGGGAACUGCCUUUGAAACUGGCAAACUGGAGUGUGGGAGAGGCUAGUGGAAUUCCAGGUGUAGGAGUGAAAUGCGUAGAUAUCUGGAGGAACAUCAGUGGCGAAGGCGACUAUCUGGCACAUAACUGACGCUGAGGAGCGAAAGCGUGGGUAGCAAACAGGAUUAGAUACCCUAGUAGUC